rnacentral:rRNA from 1 species
GUGAGUAACACGUGACUAACCUACCCUCGAGUGGGGAAUAACCUCGGGAAACCGGGGCUAACACCGCAUAACAUCUACGGAUCAAAUGCGUAAGCAGCUUGAGGAGGGGGUCGCGGCUGAUUAGCUAGUUGGCGGGGUAAUGGCCCACCAAGGCAAUGAUCAGUAGCCGGCCUGAGAGGGCGCACGGCCACACUGGAACUGAAACACGGUCCAGACUCCUACGGGAGGCAGCAGUGGGGAAUUUUGCGCAAUGGGGGAAACCCUGACGCAGCAACGCCGCGUGGAGGAUGAAGCCCCUUGGGGUGUAAACUCCUUUCGAUCGGGACGAUGAUGACGGUACCGGAUG